ensembl:lncRNA
AGCGCUCAGGACCCCCACUUGUCGGAAAGGGAGGAUGAGGGUCCCCUCAGCCCCCCCCCCCGCCCGGUCACCCCGCGCCCCCCCCCCCCGAGCCGAGGGACAGACAGAGAAUUGCAACUAGAAAUUCGAUCUAUUGGUACGAGACACCACGUGCUCGCGGGCUGGCCAAUGACCAGGCCGCCCGGGAUGAGCUAAUAAUGGAAGCAAUUUGUAACUUUCAGUAGCUCUCUAGGCCUAGGUACCGGUGGGAGGGAGGCUGGCGGAGGGGGAGACAGCACCCCCAGUUUUUUUGCCCAGCCUGUUUGUCUAGGGAAACUCGGAUCCCCGGGCCCUCCUUUUCCUUUACAGCAGUGUUCUUCGUUCCACUCCUGACCGACAGCACAGCCAGAGUCAAUAGCUUCUGGGCUCAGGCAUGGAAGAUAGAAGGGAAUUUCAGUGCAAAGUGCCUGGAAAAACUCAAGUCUCAUCAUGCUACAUGAAAGCUGCUAUGGACAAUGUUGCCCUUUGGGUGAGCAAGGGCCUUCUAUUCCAACACCUCUUCCAGCGACCUGGUCAGGUGUGGCCAAUGGAAGCAAGAGCCCAGUGAAGUCGCCUAAAUCCGAGGGCAUGGUAAGUUCUUUGUGCCCCAUUUCUCAUGUCAUGGAUGAUACUGAGAUGAGGUCUGGCUGGAAGCUUGAAGAGCAAAGCGACAGUGUUGAGAGGAACCCAAGUCCUCAAGCAACCGGUGGAAGAGAGCUGACUGCACUUUGCCUGCUCCUUUGUACUGUUACUUCUGUGGCAGAUACACUGUUUCCUCUGCUGCUGUUUGAGACCUUUUUAUUGUAACCUUUCUCAGUCAGCCUUCCUAAUACACUUUCUCACAGUACACCUGCUGACUUAAACUCAUGUUAAGGGUCACACUUAAGGUGGGAUGGUGAUAAUGAUGACUUUAGUUGAGCCAGAGGCUAGACUAAGAUGUCUAAGUCUGUAUAGCCCUGACAGCCCUCUGAGAAAGUGUUACAAUUUCCAACUGACAAAUAAGGUUUAAAGAAAGUUGCAAUUCCCACCUUAUGAAUAAGGUUUAAAGAAAGUAGCUGAGCUGACUUACACCUUUAAUUUUGCUUUUUUUUUUGAGAUAGAAUCUUCACUCUAUCAGACAGGCUAACCUACAAAUCACUGUGUAGCCCGGCUGACCUUGCAUUUACAUCACUUCUUUCUGCUUUGGCCUUCCAAAUGCUAAAUGUAGAGUUGUGAGCCCUCAUGACUGGUGAUCUUUGAGGGAUAUUGAUAUGUAGUCUAGGUUAACCUUGAAUUCAUAAUUGUCCUGACUCUUAAGUGCUAAGAUUAAAGAUGCGCUCCAUCAUGUCAGAUUCUGGGUGCACGCCUCACCUUGGGUCAAAUCCACUCUUCAGGUCAGAACAAGAGGGGACUUUGGCGAGCAACCCAUUACCAAAUUGUCCCUUGACAGUUAAUCAGAGAGGUCUGUGAGUUCCAGUGCUUCUCUCAAGAAUGUUUACUCACCUUAAAUGGUGGGAUGCUAGAAGGCUUUAGUGAAGAGAAGGGACUCGAUAUGGUGGCACAGGCCUGUAAUGCAAGCACUGAGGAGGUGGAGGCAGCAGGAACAACUUCAGCUGUACAAGUUGAUCACCCUAUCUCAGAACAACAGAAGAGCCAGGCAUUGCAACUUGUUAAAAACCUCCAAUAGAUAUGAUUCUCUCCGUGUCUCUGGAUAGCCUGGGUCAUCUAGAAUGAGGGGUGUGCAUGUGUUUUUCCUUCACCAGAUCUUGGGAGGUCAGACCGAAUUUGGAUUCUCAGGUUCCUUCUGUUGGCUAUCUGCCCUGAGCAGGGGUGGUGUGUACCUUUCCUCCACCCUCCUUGUCACCAGAUGCUAGGGAAGGCAUGCUGGGGUCAGAGCCAAAGCAGGAAAAGGCACCCUUCAGCCCCUCUCUAGUCUCUGCACAUUUCUAUAUGGAACUGGGGCCCUUUCUUCCCCUAAGCCCCACCUCUUAGCCCACCAGGAAGGAGAAAGGGAAACUGCCAUAAAUCCCCCUAUUUAUACAAGAAGACAGUGUGUUUCUCGUGCCAGAAAAAACACAGAAAGGGAGCUGUCAGGGAAGAAGGGACCCAGCCCCAGAUCUUGAGGGGUCAAUUUAUCAUCCCCAGUCAUGGCUUGGGGACUACUGCAACACUAGCUGUGGGAGAUGCAGGCUGGGAGUUUGGGGGCAGCCAGGAUAGCACUGCCUGGCCUUUGUUUCUGACCUCAGCCUUUCUGCUUCAUCUGAGAGGCCCCCUUCACCUGAUGCUCUUUUUCAAAACAACUUUCCUAAGGUGUAACUCACACGGAGCACAACCCUACUUGGAAUGGACCAUUCGUGGCUUUAGAAUCUUGAUGGACAUGUGCAACUGUCGGCACAAUCUAUUUAAGAGUAUUCUGAGCCCUCAGAGAGCAGCCUCCUGCCCACAGGUGACCAAAUCCUUAUCCUCAAUAACCCUUCUAACUGAGCAGCCAACGAGCUGCCCUCUACCUAUUCAGGACAGUCUAGGAAUGGCUUCAUGCAGUAGGUGGCCUUCUGUGAUUGGCUCCUUUUCCUUGGUUCUUAUGCGUUCUGUGUCAAAGCACGCAUCCAUUCUCGUUCCUUCUCAUGGAUGAGUUACUUCAACGGUAGACAGACCACCUUCCAGGUAUGUGUUCAUCAGUACAUGGGCAUUUAGGUUGUUCCCAUGUCCAGAAAUUAUGAUUUUCUAUGUCUCUAGACAGUUUGAAUCAUCUAGAGUGAGCUCUGCAGCCAGGAACAGGCCUGACUUAUGUGUGGGAACCUCCAGUGUCCAUGGAAGCCAGGCUUUUGCACCUGGUCCAGGUGCUUCUCCCCCUGAGGAUGGCCAUUGACUUUUCUAUCCAGCAGCUCUCUAUUUGUCCCCUUGCUGUCCUCAGACCCCUCUUCUGCAGCUUCAGAGUCUGAGUGGAGAAACAGGAAUACUUCCCCAAGAUUGGCCCCAUGUAAUCCUCUAUGUGUGCUACUGGUAAAUGGAAACCUUCGGGCCAAGGGAAAGUCAAGUUCUUGAGGGUGUGUCUGCUUCAGAGUCCAGGUCUCCUUCCCAUGUCCCACCUCACUUCUCUCAGUCUACUCUUUCUUCUGCUGACACCAGAAACUGCCCUACCUGAAUCAAUCCUAACAUACCAGUGGGACCAGCAGGAUGCAUACAAGAAGUCCAAAUAGUGCCAGGUUGCAUUUGUUGAAUGAGUGGAUGAGGGAUGAUUCCAUACUCUGGAAAUAAACUGUGGAGAAGAUCAGUUAUAAAUCUCUAU